GCCUACGGGGCGCAGCAGUGGGGGAUAUUGCACAAUGGGGGAAACCCUGAUGCAGCGACGCCGCGUGGGCGAAGAAGUAUUUCGGUAUGUAAAGCCCUAUCAGCAGGGAAGAAGAAAUGACGGUACCUGAGUAAGAAGCACCGGCUAAAUACGUGCCAGCAGCCGCGGUAAUACGUAUGGUGCAAGCGUUAUCCGGAUUUACUGGGUGUAAAGGGAGCGCAGGCGGCACGGCAAGCCUGAUGUGAAAUCCACGGGCUCAACCCGUGAACUGCAUUUGAAACUGUUUCCCUUGAGUGUCGGAGUGG
rnacentral:rRNA from 1 species